rfam:Pteropus alecto contig83641, whole genome shotgun sequence.
AUCUACGGCCAUGCCAUCCUGAACAAGCCUGAUGUCUGAUCUUGGAAGCUAAGCAGGGUCGAGCCUGGUUAGUUCUUGGAUGGGAAACCACCUAGGAAGAUCAGGUGCUACAGGCA